AAAAAUUUACAACGCUUGCUUUCGCUCCUUCUGGUUUCUUCCGGAUUCGAGUUCUUCCUGAUAAACCAGAUCGUCGUCUUCUCCUUAAUUUGAAUUGAGGUUUUUGAUUAUUCACUCUUCGUUCUCGCUACUGCGAUGUCUCAGAGAGCAGCAAAUGAAAUUUCCGUGGCUUCGUUUCCACGCUCACAGAGUUUCUGGCUGGGAUGAGUAUUUGGCGUUAAUGGUUUUUGUUCGAUCAGUGAGGUUGAUGGGCUGCAUUGGAUUAUAAUUAGUAUGACAGGAGAUAGGAAUCUUCCAUGAUGUUUGGAAUGUCCGUGAAAAGAAAUUCUAAAGUUUGUUUCACGGAACAUUUCAUACCAAAGCUGCUGGUACCUCUGCUGGAUGCAUUUACUAGUUGUUAAGAGCAGGUGACUGUAUCAUUCUACUGAUGGAACAGCAAGAACGCUAACCAAUGGCUCACUCCUAGCUGAAAUUCAAGGAUGUUACCUGCCACGCAUGGAGCAAUUGAUAACAACAUUUCACUGUUUGGUUCUCAACAGACCAAAAUUGGAGUAUUUGUUGGUUAGCGAUAUUUACCUUGACUUCUGAAGCAGGAUUCAACAGGUGAUGAUGUUCCUCCUUCAGUUUGUUAAAACGAUCGAUUACUGAUUUCAUGCUGAUAAGAAGAGCCAUGGCAUUAUGGUCAGUUGAUGCAAUGAUCACAUACUUCGCGAAAAUUUCUUAGGUUAUGAAAAUGCAGAUCAUAGUUAAUGUAAUGAAAUUAAACAAACACAUCCUAUCAAUAUACAUUAAAUUUGAUAGUAAUGAUUUCUACUCUAUUUCUCAGUUGGAUUUGUGUUAUAGUAGUGAUUGUAAUACUGAUACAAAUACACGACAGAGAUGUAGACGGUAAAUACUACCGAGUUUUUUGUAAAAAAAAAAUAAAAAUUGUUGAUUUGAUCUC